ACCACCUGCGCCUCAUACACACCAUCGAGACCACCAGGAAGCUGCUCGCCGGCGUUAUCUUCGCGGCGUCAGCGCAGCGAGGACUCGAUAGAGAUAUAUUGAUUAGAUUGUAUAGAGAACAAAUGACGUCAGCGACGCACGGGCCGACGGGCGCGCUGGACGAGGUGUCGCUCGCGCUGCAGAUGGCGCUGCUCUACGCGCUAGACCUCUCCGUCUU